rnacentral:rRNA from 1 species
AAAGGUAGCAUAAUCACUUGUCUCCUAAAUAGAGACUAGUAUGAAUGGCCAAAUGAAGAUUUACCUGUCUCUUAUAAUUAAUCUAUGAAACUAAUCUUUUAGUUCAAAAGCUAAAAUAAUGUCACAAGACGAAAAGACCCUGUGGAACUUUUAAACGACGGGCAACCUAUUUUAUGCCCUACUCGCUUUUAGUUGGGGCAACUUUGGAAAAAAUCAAAACUUCCAAUACAAUUCAAGGUGGACACACCUACAUGCUUCCCCAUGACCCAGUAACACUGAAUAAAGAAACAAGCUACCCCAGGGAUAACAGCGCCAUCCCCUCCUAGAGCCCCCAUCGACGAGCGGGGUUUACGACCUCGAUGUUGGAUCAGGGCCCCCAGACAGUGCAGAAGCUGUUAACGGUUUGUUUGUUCAACAACUAACGCCCUACGUGAUCUGA